rnacentral:tRNA from 1 species
GCCUUUGUGGUGCAGUGGUCAGCACGCUCGACGCGCAACCGAGAGGUCCGUGGUUCGAUUCUCGGCGAAGGCG